GACGAACGCUGGCGGCGUGCUUAACACAUGCAAGUCGAACGGAAAGGCCCUGCUUUUGUGGGGUGCUCGAGUGGCGAACGGGUGAGUAACACGUGAGUAGCCUGCCCUUGACUUUGGGAUAACUUCAGGAAACUGGGGCUAAUACCGGAUAGGAGCUCCUGCUGCAUGGUGGGGGUUGGAAAGUUUCGGCGGUUGGGGAUGGACUCGCGGCUUAUCAGCUUGUUGGUGGGGUAGUGGCUUACCAAGGCUUUGACGGGUAGCCGGCCUGAGAGGGUGACCGGCCACAUUGGGACUGAGAUACGGCCCAGACUCCUACGGGAGGCAGCAGUGGGGAAUAUUGCACAAUGGGCGGAAGCCUGAUGCAGCGACGCCGCGUGCGGGAUGACGGCCUUCGGGUUGUAAACCGCUUUCGCCUGUGACGAAGCGUGAGUGACGGUAAUGGGUAAAGAAGCACCGGCUAACUACGUG
rnacentral:rRNA from 1 species